rnacentral:rRNA from 1 species
AUGUUCCCUGGAUUUCAGGGCCAUUCACCCACUGAAUGUCAGCGUUGUUACUCUCACCCUCCGGAUUGUUUUGGUAUGAUCUUUGCUCAACAACAUAGCUCAUGCCAAAACAAUUACACACAUGCGUGGCCUGAAAACCAGAAUAUGUCAUAUAGGAACAACAACCCUGAGAUCUCAUCAUUUGCUUCUAGUAAUCAUAUGCAGGGAUUUAGGUACAAUGAGGAGAGCCACAACUAUGCACCACAACAAUUUCAUUCAGCUCCUACUCAUAUACCACAGUACCAGGAGAUGUGUCCAAUGGAGUUAAAUGGUCCUCCAUUUGGUCAACCAACAACUCCAGCACCUGUUGUGCAAUCUCAUGUGCAAGUGCCCACACAAGAUGAGUUCGAUGACAUAGACAAGCUCACACUUUUGAGUCUCGAGUUCACUUGGAGUGCCGAGGAUGAUCCUAUUAGGAAGGUUAUAAUGGAGGAAAUGAAGAAGAUUAAGAGUGGAAAGGAGCUAGUGGAAGAAGUAAGGAAGAUUGAGAAGAACAUCAACGCUGGCAGUACUAUCUCUUCCCUCCUUGAGUUGAGUGUUGAUGGGAUAUCCCUUGAGGUGUGUGAGGUUCCAACACCGUCACAUCCAGCUGAGCAAGAUAGCAAGAGCCCAGAGGAAGAGAUACCUCAGACUGAAGAAGAUGACCUAGAAGACGAGGAACAAGAUGAUGAAGAGCUCAAAUUCCCAAGUGAUCAAGAUGAAGACAAAAGAGCUACUACUCUUGAAGAAUUACUUUCCUCGUGCCAGUCCUAUGCUAAAUGA